AUUGAACGCUGGCGGCAUGCCUUACACAUGCAAGUCGAACGGUAACAGGUUAAGCUGACGAGUGGCGAACGGGUGAGUAAUAUAUCGGAACGUGCCCAGUCGUGGGGGAUAACGUAGCGAAAGCUACGCUAAUACCGCAUACGAUCUACGGAUGAAAGCGGGGGAUCGCAAGACCUCGCGCGAUUGGAGCGGCCGAUAUCAGAUUAGGUUGUUGGUGAGGUAAAAGCUCACCAAGCCUGCGAUCUGUAGCUGGUCUGAGAGGACGACCAGCCACACUGGAACUGAGACACGGUCCAGACUCCUACGGGAGGCAGCAGUGGGUAAUUUUGGACAAUGGACGCAAGUCUGAUCCAGCAAUGCCGCGUGCAGGACGAAGGCCUUCGGGUUGUAAACUGCUUUUGUACGGGACGAAACGGCGAGCUCUAAUACAGUUUGCUAAUGACGGUACCGUAAGAAUAAGCACCGGCUAACUACGUGCCAGCCGCCGCCGUAA
rnacentral:rRNA from 1 species